rfam:Callithrix jacchus chromosome 18, whole genome shotgun sequence
AAAAUGGUUUCUUUAGAAACCAAAACAUUUUUAAAGAAAAAGAUAA